ACCCGCUGAAUUUAAGCAUAUAAGUAAGUGGUGGAAAUUAAACCAAAUGGGAUAUCUUUAGUAAUUGCGAAUGAACAAGGAUAUGCUUAGCUUGACAAAUGGAGCUAUUGGCUUUGAAUUGUAUUUGUGGAAUGUAUUACCAACAGAGGUGCAGGUGCCAGCCUAUUAAAUAAAGCGUCAAUGAGGGUGAGAAUCCUGUUUGUCAUGUGCAGCCCUUUGUGCACGGUGUAUAUUUGCUGAGUCACACUCCUUGGCAUUGGAAUGCAAAGUGGGUGGUAAGUUUCAUGUACAGGUAAACAUGCAAUUGAGACUGAUAGCACACAAGUACCAUGAGGGAAAUAUGAAAAGGACUUUGAAAAGAGAAUUAAAUGAGUUUGUAUUUGCUGAACACAAAGUAAACAGACUUGAUUUGCUUGGUGGGAGUGUUGCACUUGCUUGACAAGAGCUUUGGGCUGUGGGUGUAAUGAUUCUUUCUUUGCAUGCCAGUUUCUAUGUGUACAUCUGAUUACCUUUGCACAUGAAUGAUAAGUCUCCUGUGGGGGGUGGAUUGCAUGUGCAUGUAAUGAUUUGUGUUUUGAUAAAUGUGUCUGGUGUAUGUGUGUGUGUUCCUGUGCUUGGGGAUGCUUCCUUCCUUGGACUUACAAGCCCUGACACACACAUGCUGGCAAAAUGCUUCUGCUUGACCCGUCUUGAAACACGGACCAAGG
rnacentral:rRNA from 1 species